AAGAGGUGAUCUCGUGUCUCCA
rnacentral:siRNA from 1 species